UGAGUAUGGAUAACCAUUUUGCAGAAUUAGGAAUGUGCAGCUGAAAGUGGUCAAAGACCAAAGGCCAAGACUGAUGUCAGCUUGAAAGAAACUACUCUGUGUAUUGGAUUUGCAAGAUAAAAGAUGAUGAAUUAAAGCACCAGUUUCAAGUCCAAAGAUCAAAAAGCACCAUUUAGGUCAAGGUCAACUCCAAAUAUUGGUUAAAACCUAAUUUGUACCAACAACUGAAUCCAGAAGAGGGCAGUCUUGAUAGGACACCCAUAAAAGAGCUAAACAGGAUUGAUGUGGAAGCCCGGAUGCUUAGCUGUGCCACUGAGUUCAUUUCCUGUGGAUGUUGUGUGCUUGGUGCAUUGCAAUAAGGACAUAUAACCCAUAGAAUUCACUUGAAUAAUAUGGAAAGAGAUUGCUUUGGCAAAACUCAUUUUAUAUAUUUUAGAAUAACUUUGUCAAAGAUCAAGUUUGUUUGGAUGACAUUCUGAUGCAACAACAUAUUUUUAUGCAUAAAAUCUUGUUAUUUACUUGAAUGGUCAAAGGAUCAAGACAGUUGAUAUGAGUUUGAAUGAAGCACAUUUACUUUGGUAUUUGUUAAGUUAAUUGGAAUAUUUUCACUUUGUAUAAUAGGUUGACAAAUGUAGAUUUUAUUCUCAGUCAAGAUUGAUCUUUAAGUUUUACAUCCAAACAAUAAACUCUUUUGUUUUGGACAAAAAAAUUAUUUAAACAUACAGACUGUAUUCUGAAGACAAAUGCAAAGAAACAAUUAUAGAUUGUUAAUUAAGGAUAAAUAACACAAACUUUUUUUCCCCAAAAUUCAGAUAUCUUUGCUAAAUUAGGUGCCUUUCUCACUUUGGAAUUAAUAUUUGUAUAGUUAAACAACUUAAUGUUUGGCCAAGGUACAUUAUUUGGCAAAAAGUGCAAAAAUGCAACUUUACAGUUCAAUAUGUUUUUUUGAUAAGUUUAUAAAAUGUAUUCAGUUUUCUUGCUUCAAAGUUUCUGGGGACAUUUUCAAGAGUCUAUUUUUACAUUCUACUAAAUUAAAAUUUAUUAAUUACAUUUCCAUUGAAAGAAAUAUUGAAAAAAUACCAGUGUAACUCUUCUGUGUGGAAGAUAAGAAAAUUUGUUUGUGGUGUGUAUCUUUAUUAAUGUCAGUUGCUCAAAUUCAAAAGGUCUAGAUUAUAAAAAUGAAAAUAAUGUGGGGCCUUGUAUGUCUGUCCAUUUUUUAAAUUAUACAUGUUUAAGGCCAUAUAAUAUAUAUGAUUCAUAUUUGGUCAGUAUUUGAAAAUUUAUUUGGGGAAUGAAUGAGCAUAAACAUUUUACUAAA